GGGAAGGUGGCUCAGUGGUAGAGUGCUUGUCUUGCAUGCAUGAGGCCCUGGGUUUGAUUCCUCAGCUCUGUUA
rnacentral:tRNA from 1 species